rnacentral:rRNA from 1 species
UUUCCGGUUGAUCCUGCCGGACCUGACUGCUAUCGGAUUGAUACUAAGCCAUGCGAGUCUUUGUAGUAAUACAAGGCAUACGGCUCAGUAACGCGUAGUCAACCUACCCUAUGGACAAGAAUAAUCUCGGGAAACUGAGCAUAAUUCUUGAUAGAUCAUAAUGCCUGGAAUGGUUUAUGGUUAAAAUGAUUCGUCGCCAUAGGAUGGGACUGCGGCCUAUCAGCUUGUUGGUGAGGUAAUGGCCCACCAAGGCGAUUACAGGUACGGGCUCUGAGGGGAGAAGCCCGGAGAUGGGUACUGAGACAAGGACCCAGGCCCUAUGGGGCGCAGCAGGCGAGAAAACUUUGCAAUGUGCGAAAGCACGACAAGGUUAGUCCGAGUGAUUUCUGCUAAAGAGAUCUUUUGCUAGUUAUAAAACCACUAGUGAAUAAGGGGUGGGCAAGUUCUGGUGUCAGCCGCCGCGGUAAAACCAGCACCUCAAGUGGUCAGGAUGAUUAUUGGGCCUAAAGCAUCCGUAGCCGGCUCUGUAAGUUUUCGGUUAAAUCUAUGCACUCAACGUAUGGGCUGCCGAAAAUACUGCAGAGAUAGGGAGUGUGAGAGGUAGACGGUACUCGGUAGGAAGGGGUAAAAUCCUUUGAUCUAUCGAUGACCACCUGUGGCGAAGGCGGUCUACCAGAACACGUUCGACGGUGAGGGAUGAAAGCUGGGGAAGCAAACCGGAUUAGAUACCCGGGUAGUCCCAGCUGUAAACGAUGCAGACUCGAUGAUGCAUUGGCAUAUAGCCAGUGCAGUGUCGCAGGGAAGCCGUUAAGUCUGCCGCCUGGGAAGUACGUACGCAAGUAUGAAACUUAAAGGAAUUGGCGGGGGAGCACCACAAGGGGUGAAGCCUGCGGUUCAAUUGGAGUCAACGCCGGG